GUAGGUGGCAAGCGUUGUCCGGAAUUAUUGGGCGUAAAGCGCGCGCAGGCGGUUCUUUAAGUCUGAUGUGAAAGCCCACGGCUCAACCGUGGAGGGUCAUUGGAAACUGGAGGACUUGAGUACAGAAGAGGAAAGCGGAAUUCCACGUGUAGCGGUGAAAUGCGUAGAGAUGUGGAGGAACACCAGUGGCGAAGGCGGCUUUCUGGUCUGUAACUGACGCUGAGGCGCGAAAGCGUGGGGAGCAAACAGGGAUUAGAUACCCUGGUAGUCCACGCCGUAAACGAUGAGUGCUAAGUGUUAGGGGGGUUUCCGCCCCCUUAGUGCUGCAGCUAACGCAUUAAGCACUCCGCCUGGGGAUACGGCCGCAAGGCUG
rnacentral:rRNA from 1 species